rnacentral:snRNA from 1 species
UUCAGCCAAUCAUAAAAGAGACUG